AGAAACCUGAAAAUUACCAUUGGAUCGAAAAUUAAAAGUCUGAGAUUCGUCCACGUCACUUCAGUAAAAUUUUUACUCAUGAGUGAACUGGGAGUAAAAUUUUUACUUAUGGUGACGCGGACGAAUUUCGGACGUCCAUUUUUUAUCAAACGGUAGUUUCUAAGUUUUC
rnacentral:pre_miRNA from 1 species